rnacentral:misc_RNA from 1 species
AUCUUGAAGGUGAGUGCACAUUGGUAGGGACACGAUGGCGCUCCACGACGCUUCCGUACUCAUUAUUGCUGUUCUUGGAGUUCUUACCCAAGAUGUUGUGCAUGGGGACCAGCGUGCUGCUCAUGCUAUGUUUGACAAAUCCUCGUACAGCGGCAACGGAGAAACAAAAUACUUCUGGAGAUCUGAGGCACAGACAGCAUUGCAAGAUUCUCUGAAAAACCAACCCGUUGUUGGGGUAGCCAAAAACGUCAUCAUUUUCCUUGGCGACGGAAUGGGCGUUUCCACGGUAACCGGAGGUCGUAUUCUCAAAGGUCAACUACAAAACAAAACAGGGGAGGAAACUGUUCUGUCGUGGGAGAAAUUCCCCAAUGUGGCUCUUUCAAAGACUUACAACCAAGACCAUCAGACCCCCGACUCAGCGGGAACAGCCACCGCCUACCUCUGUGGGGUAAAGACUAACAUGGGAACUAUAGGGGUCGACGCCCAAAUAGUCCGGGGACGUACGCCAACACGGCCGAGAGAAACUGGGAGGGGGAUUCCGACAUGACCCAUGUGACUGGCGGAUGUAAAGAUAUUGCUCUUCAGCUGAUUGAAGAAAACCCGGACAUACAGGUAAUUAUGGGAGGUGGAAGAAGAUUCUUUCUUCCAGUUGACGCCACAGAUCCAGAACGAGGCUCCAAUACUGCUCACGGAAGACUUGAUGGAAGAAAUCUAAUAGACGAAUGGAUGAAUGAUAAGAAGAGAAGACACAAAUCGUAUCGAUAUGUCUGGAAUGAGACAGAUUUCAACACGGUAGACCCCGCUCAGACCGACUUUCUUUUAGGUUUGUUCGAAUCCAGCCACAUGCAAUACGAUAUAGAUCGUAACGACCCUCACUAUGAAAAAGCCGGAGAACCCCACAUCAAGGACAUGACUGAGAAGGCCAUCCAAAUCUUGUCCAAGAACCCGAAAGGAUAUUUCCUCCUCGUAGAAGGCGGUAAAAUUGAUCUUGCCCACCAUGGGAGCAGGCCGGUGAGAUCGUUGCAUGAUGUGGUGGCGAUGGACCUUGCGGUAGACAAGGCGGCGUCUAUCACCAAUAACCAGGACACCUUGAUUGUGGUCACCGCCGACCACUCCCAUACGUUUGUUAUCUCGGGAUACCCACAGCGAGGAAAUGGAAUAUUUGAUCUGAUGUCAAGCAGACCCGGUUACAUUUCGCUGGCAAAGGACCAUAAUCCUUACACUACCCUGUUGUACGGGAACGGCCCUGGGGCCCAUUCCACGCGCGCUGAUCUACGCAACGUGGACACAACGAGUAAACACUACACUUACCAGUCGGCCGUUCCUCUGUCAGCGGAAACCCACGGCGGCGAAGACGUCGCUAUUUUUGCCCGAGGACCAAUGGCGCACCUGUUGCACGGAGUGCGUGAACAGAACUACAUUCCUCACGUGAUGGCGUACGCCUCGUGUGUCGGCGAUUAUAAUGCACACAGUCAUUGUGCAGCCAGUGCUACUCACCACAGCACAGCAACCUCUAAUAUAUUUGGCUAAUUUUUUUUUAUUUACUACAUUAAAGUUUAUUAUGAUU